GACGAACGCUGGCGGCGUGCCUAAUACAUGCAAGUAGAACGCUGAAGGAGGAGCUUGCUUCUCUGGAUGAGUUGCGAACGGGUGAGUAACGCGUAGGUAACCUGCCUGGUAGCGGGGGAUAACUAUUGGAAACGAUAGCUAAUACCGCAUAAUAGUAGAUGUUGCAUGACAUUUGCUUAAAAGGUGCAAUUGCAUCACUACCAGAUGGACCUGCGUUGUAUUAGCUAGUUGGUGGGGUAACGGCUCACCAAGGCGACGAUACAUAGCCGACCUGAGAGGGUGAUCGGCAACACUGGGACUGAGACACGGCCCAGACUCCUAAGGGAGGCAGCAGUAGGGAAUCUUCGGCAAUGGACGGAAGUCUGACCGAGCAACGCCGCGUGAGUGAAGAAGGUUUUCGGAUCGUAAAGCUCUGUUGUAAGAGAAGAACGAGUGUGAGAGUGGAAAGUUCACACUGUGACGGUAUCUUACCAGAAAGGGACGGCUAACUACGUG
rnacentral:rRNA from 1 species